rnacentral:lncRNA from 1 species
GGCGGCUGCUCUGUUUCGAUCGCACCACAGAAACAGCGACGUCGACAGAUCGCACGGCCGAAGCUGCAACCAAGGGAAGGCAGCGAUGGCGGUGCGGCUAGGGCAGCGUCGCCGACGGUAGAAGCGGCGAUGGGUGGUCCGCUGGCUGGGAAACGGCGACCGCGGCCCUUCUCGCUCGAGCGGGAUGCGGGCAGCGAGGUGGCGAGGUGAGAAGGUUGCUGGCCGGGAGGCAGCGGCGGCGGUGGAGAAGGAGUUGCCCUACAGCGGCGGUAGAGAAGAGGAGCAGGGCUGCGGCAGAGUGGGACGCUGGCAGCGUCGUCUCCUGGCAGCGGUGGUGGACUCUGGCCGGAAGUGGGGCAGAGUCGGUUGCUGGCCGGAGAGCAGCGACGGGCGGCGGGUGGGUUGGCCGGAAGCAGGGGAAGCAGGGGCGUGUGGCUGCGGUUGCUGCUUCUUCUUCUCUCUCUCUUUCUUUCUUUCUUUCUUUCUUUCUUUCGUUUUUCUUUUUUUUUUUUGAUAGCUUCGUUGCAGCGAGAACGCCAAGGAUCGCUGCUCUGAUACCAAAUGAUAAGACCCUAAAGUCUUAUCGUAGGCUCUGAUACCAAAUGAUAAGA